GCGGCUGAGAACCACAAGCGGUACUACCGCUGGGUACCGCGGUACUACCGCUCGGACACAAAUCAGCACAACUGCAAGGGGAACAAGCUCUCUAGUUGAAGCGGAAAAGCUCAGAGGGUGAGAGAAGGAUGUGUAUGUGUUGGUUCCACCCAAGCCUUACCAAAGCGGACCCCCUCUUGAUUGAACGGUGACUCCUACGAAACUAGUCCACCAAACAAGAAAGAAGGAGCUACACCGUCUUGAAAAACACUCUGAGGGGAAAGAAAUCAUCUCGUGCCAAAGGAUGAAUCUCUGAAAGGCUCAAAGCACAUGGUUAGUCCGCAAACAUGUUGUCAUCAAUCACCAAAACUACAUCGAGAGAGAUAUGCCUUAACAUAGUGUAAUAUGCAUGACACUAGUAUAAGUUACUCCCCACUAUGACAAGGCCGGUUGUAAUGGGAGUAUGGUAUCGUGCAUGCCAGGUAGACUUUUUGAAUGAUAUGUCACAAAAUUAAUAUAGCAGGGUUUUUACGCCCAAACUACGGAUGUCGUGUUCUCCACAGGGAUCUAGAACUUUGAAGCACACACUCGAAACAUUCAGAACAACCGGACAGAUGAAUCAAACAGUAGUGACAACAAGCAAUUACUAGAGCAAGGUAAAACAAAAAUAAUAUGCAGCAAAGGUAAAUGGUUCAGACAUCACACACAACUCAAGCAACCAAUAAAAGAGACAGCAGCUCACAGGAGUAUAACAACUAACUUAAUAUCCAGCAAGUGCAACAACAAUUCACCAAGAACAAACACAUAAGGGAUCUCACACAUACAGUAGCAGAAUACUAACUAACACAUGACAAGUACGAACUGAACAUAUUAUCAGUAGCAUAGAGUAGACGAUGGAACUAUCUCACACAUCACAGGCAGCAGAACAAUAUUACAAGUUGAACCACCUAGUUUUCUCACGGACACAUCAAUAGUUAACUGAGAUUAAGAUUACAAGCUGCAGAAUAUUCAGAGCAAAAAUUCAGAAAACUAUAGUAAGAGAAAAGAGAUUCAGAGUUGUCUCCUGAGCUGUAGAUGUUGUGGACGAAGGAGAGCAGCAGGGACGAAGACGAUCAGCGAAGCCAAGUUGGAGAGGAUCAACAAGGGGUCGUUGGAGACGAUCCACAACUCUGUUUCUUGAGGUUGAAAAUGAGGAAGUGCAGCAGGUUGGCGUCGUCGUUGGAGAGAAGCGGUGGAUCGGGCGUCUCCACCAAUCUCCCGGCGCCCUCUUCUCCCUUCUCUCCUUCGAUUUGGUUCUUCUGCUCAUUCCCCUCAAUCCCCUGCUUUGAUCUGGUGGUCGUUGAGUGGUGGAAGGUAGCGAGGAGUUGGAGAGCAGCAGGUCGGCGAUCAGGGGCGGCAGCAAGGUGGAACGGCCACCGAUCUCCUCUUCUUCUUCCUUCCCUCGAGCCCCCCUUUUCUUGCCUGAUUCGAUCUAGUGGUAGGUGAGUCGUGGAAGGCAGCGAGGAGUUGGGGACAAAAAGGCAGUCGGUCUGAUCCUUUUCUUUCCUUCGACGCCCUCAACUCCUCUUCUUUCUCGUGGCCUCGCGCGUGGGAUCAGAUAUGCCUCUCGCUGGUCGCGCCAGACCAGCCCCUUCUCACGCGCCCAAGCAGACAUCUGCUCUUCUUUG
rnacentral:rRNA from 1 species